rnacentral:rRNA from 1 species
AGCGCAACCCCUCGCAUUCACGUUGCCAUCGGGUAAGUGCCGGGCACUCUGGAAGGACUGCCAUCGACAAGAUGGAGGAAGGUGGGGAGUGACGUCAAGUCAUCAUGGCCCUUAUGUCCAGGGCGACACACGUGCUACAAUGGCCGGCACAACGGGAAGCGAGUUCGCGAGGACGAGCGGAUCCCUCAAAGCCGGUCGCAGUUCGGAUUGAAGUCUGCAACUCGACUUCAUGAAGCUGGAAUCGCUAGUAAUCGUGGAUCAGCCAAGCCGCGGUGAAUACGUUCCCGGGCCUU